rnacentral:lncRNA from 1 species
CAACAUUCUUCCAUGUUUCCUGUUUCUUUACCUUUCUAUGCUGAAUUCUGGGAACUUUUUUCAGCCUCAAUUUCCAGGUUAUUGAUCGUCUCUUCAGCUGUGUAUCAUUUGUCCUUUCUCUCAUUCUUCACAAGAUUUUUUUCUUCCCUUAGAAGUUCUCUUUGACUAAUUUUCUAUUGUGCCUGGUCAUUUUGGUUGUCCCUUUACUCUGCUUAUUGACUUCACCUUUUAUCUCUUUAAACUGCUUGAUAUAGAUCUACUUUAUUUUCUUUAUCUGAUAAUGCUAUUUUCUCCUAUGGAUGGCUUAAAUUUCUUCUUUUUUCUAUUGAUUUUCUCUCAUGGUGGCCUAUUAUUUUUCGUUUUAUAUAUAAUUUUUUUUUGUUCAUAUGUAAUUGAACAAAUAUUGACUGCUGAGAAUUUAACUUGUGACAAUUACAGGGGACCUCAAAUUUCUACCUUUAUCCAGGCACGAAUACAUCAUUUUAGAAGAGAGAAGAACAAAUGCACACUUUUGAGUAUGGAAAUACUGUGAUGUCACCAAUCUCUGCUGUUUCAUGGCAAGGAAAAUGAUCUUCUACCAUCAUUCCUGGGAUGGGACAUGUGCCAUAUCAGUGUAAAAUUAAACUGUUGAUUAAUUGUUGUCAAUAUGAUUUUAGCUAAAUCCAGUACUUAUACCAUAAUCUCAUUCAAUUCUAAUGGUAUCUCUAGUUCAACCAAGCUUAAUUUAUCAAUAACUCAAAUAUCUCAACUCACAUAUUUUCUCAUUCUACUUUUAUUCUUGGAUUUCACAUUGAUUUUAUCCAAAAUAAAUUCUCUUUGGAAAAAGAAGAGUAUAAUUAAUAUAUAAAUGUUAGCAAAUAAAAUAAAUAAUAUCUUGCAUGAAUAUAUUUGGAGGAAUUUCAGAAACUUAGCAUUGUGCCCUUGUAAAUUAUGCCUUCAAAAAUAUUUCUCUAGUUUUCUUGUCUAAUUUGAAGAAAUGCCUCUAAUGUUAGGAAUUGCAAACUAUGUUAAGGGGAAAGUAAAUCAAUUACACAAUGGGGUACUGAAAAGGAAUUUUAUGGGAAUGACUGGUUUUAAUUACCUCAAAAUACAAUGCAAUUGUCAAUACUGUUUUUAGAUUAAAGUUUAUUGCAGUGACCGAGAACCUCAAAUCCCUACUCCAAAUGAUAACCACAUCUUUCACCUUAUCAAGCCUCAGAAAGAGAGAGACUAUUUGCCACUGAUUUAAAGUUCAGAAAACUCUGAAUUUUAUUUGUAAUCUCUAAUGAUGAAAGCUGUCCUUAGGAUAACUUCAAAUUCUUCUCAUCAGUUUCUUCCCCUUCUAUUCUAAAUAGUACUAAGUAUUCAAGUUCUGACAUCUUUAAUUUCUCAAUAUCUUUUUAAAUAAUUUCAUUUUGUUAUCCUUUAUUGUGUUUCUCUCUCUUAUUUGAUAAAAAUUCUUGAAUACUCAUCUAUCUUCUCCCUGUCACAUCAUCCUGAUCCUGAAUGUGAAAGUUUAUUUUAUACUUAACUCCACUUAAACUGCUUUUGUUGAAAUCACCCUUGCUCCUCUUUUGUUCAAAUCCAAAGGCUUCUCUCUUAAUACUUUUCAGUCACUUUCUCGUGUUUUAGGCUCUUGAUCAUAUU